rnacentral:rRNA from 1 species
CAGUCGCCGCGGUAAUACGUAGGUGGCAAGCGUUGUCCGGAAUUAUUGGGCGUAAAGGGCUCGCAGGCGGUUUCUCAAGUCUGAUGUGAAAGCCCCCGGCUCAACCGGGGAGGGUCAUUGGAAACUGGGAAACUUGAGUGCAGAAGAGGAGAGUGGAAUCCCACGUGUAGCGGUGAAAUGCGUAGAGAUGUGGAGGAACACCAGUGGCGAAGGCGACCCUCUGGUCUGUAACUGACGCUGAGGAGCGAAAGCGUGGGGAGCGAACAGGAUUAGAUACCCCCGUAGUCCCUGUCUCUUAUAC